AGCGGAAGGCUGGCGGGCGGCGUUUUCGCCAACCCGGUCAGGGCCGAAAGGCAGCAGCCGUAACGAAUUUCUCCGGGUCGUUCAGUCUUCCACCUUA
rnacentral:SRP_RNA from 2 species